GCAAAUCGAUUCCCCACCAAGGCUCCAGCAAAUCGAUUCCCCGCCAAGGCGCCAGCCUCGCUGACUUCACCACCACAUCCAUAUGCUCUGUAUAAAAUUUCUCUAGCGUGUACGUCACGCACCAUGAUCUCCGUCAGUUCAUAACCGCCGUCCAUGCCCCAGAUCCUUCGAAUCACCUCAACAUCCAGAUUGCAGCUCCACCAUCGUCUCCUUGCAAGCUCUGACUUGGUUCAAAUUUUCUUGCCGCCUGGUGAGUCCAGGUUCAUGAGAGCUGGACAUCCUACUACAACCAGCUCACCAUAGUGCCAUCGACGGACUGACCACAAGUUGUGGCCGAAAACACCUGACUUAUAACAAUCAAGAAUCAAAGUCAUAACCGCGAGCCGUCCAGUAAAACCCAAGAGAUGGAAGGCCGAGCUCCUUUCAGAGAUAUUACAAAUGUUCACUCCACGACUUCACCAAAAGGGAACCAACUAGCUGUGAUUGCAGAGCAGAAUGAUCCUUUUGCAGAAACCAAAAACACUAUGCAAAUGAAUUCUUCCCAGCAUCAGAGGAUGAUGUUCUCCCCUUCAAGUUUAAAAGAAACAAUUUCCAAUUCGGCUUAGUUUUGCCAUGACAAUCAACAAAGCCCAGGGUCAAACCAUCCCAAAUGUUGGCGUAUAUCUUCCUGAGCCGGUGUUUUCUCAUGGACAACUCUAUGUUGCUUUGUCUAGAGGGACAUCAAGACAAACAACUAGAAUACUUGCAAGGCCAAAUACGGAUAAUGACCCAUCAGGGAAAAGCACAAAAAAUAUUGUCUACAGGGAUGUUUUGGUAUAAUCCAUGUACAUGCUGUGUACUGUAGUGUGAUGUUUCUAAUAUGUUUCUAUUCAUGUAAAUAGUACCAGGAAAAAUAAUAUUAGAUAGGGUUUCAGUCAUUAGCUUGCCCUUAUGAAAAUUGUAGACCAAAAGAUAUGUUUACAGGGGUAAUAAUCUAGCAUGUACAGUACUUAAAUCUAUAGAUUUACUAUUCUUCUCUCAGUUAUAGCAUAUAAUAGAAAUCCAGCAACAUAAGUGAGAAGAUAUCAUUUUUUAUGAUAGCCAUUGGGCUUCACAAGUAUAAGAAACAUACAUUUUUCAGUUUUAACAUACA